UUGGGACAUUCCUGGAUAAGUGUUAUAAAUGAUUAAAAUUGACAAGGCCCCCUUCUUUGGUGCAUGUGUGUGUGCAUGUGAGUGCAUGCAUUCCACACCCCCCACCCCCAAAAAGCCGAAUGUCUUCAAUUUUAAUGGUGCUUUUUUCCUGUCAUUGGAUGAGAUGGAUUUUUUUUACUCUUAUGAUUAUUAUUUUGGAAAUAGGUAUUAUUUCUUUAAAAGAAAAGAGAGAAAGCCAAAUCAAAUCAAAUACAAACCUCUGGGCUCUAUUAUGGCAUUAGGCUUUAUGUCUCAGAGCAGGUCAGAACCUAACUUUGAUAGAUGAAAAUUUGUCAUUCCCGGUACAUUUCAUUUACUGAAAUGCUGUUUGAGAGCAACUUUAUUAAAGAUGCAAGACACUGGUACAAUGCCGCUUUAUUUUGUGUCACCGCUUUCAUAUAAAAUCCUUUCUCCAAACACUUUGGAGAAUUAAAUAAUACAAGACAGGAGAGAGUGUUCUGUAUAAAUUAUACAACACUAUGGCAUAAGAAAUAAUUCAAAGAAUCAGAAACCAAUAGCUAAAGUUCAGAGAAAUUGAAAGAAAGAGAGAGAUUUUUAGAAUUUUUUUUUUAAUCCAAAGGAGAGCUUAUAUUGUGGAGAGCAGUUGAAGGAUUGAAGCACAAUAGAAUUCCUAGUGGAAGAGAGGGAUGGAUGUUUUAUGACCCCAAAUUGCAACAUUUUCAAGGCUUCACUUCUAUCUCACUUUCUAAGUUAUCCAUAGGAAUUUUACUUUACAACAAACCUAUGAGUAAUACUAAUAGAUGCUAAUUACCUAUUAUAUUUUACUUUGAUUGAAAAUUCUAAAUUUAUGAUCAUACAUAAAGGUGAGAAUCACUGAGGUAAAAUGGCCUAGACCCAUUAUCAAACAGCUGCCAAAGAGUGGAUUCUUGAGUCAGACACAGUUCUAAUUGCAUCCAUAGCCUGGUGCUUGCUACCACCUCUGUGAAUUUAGCCAGAACAGGUAUUAAUAACCUAUAUCUCUCACUGAGCACAUUCCUAUCAUAUUCUAACAAAGCCAGGGAGUCAAGCACUCUCAAUCUUUGUUCUGACAUGACUCAAGAGCCUUAAUUCAUUAAAAAAAAUAAAUAAAGUACCUAGAAUGGUAUGAACUUCUAGCAGAGGGCCCAAUGAGCAAUUUUCAUUGUCCUUAAGAGCUUUCUAUUUCCAUGCUCUUAUAUCGACAACCAGUGAGUUCAGCAAUACACUAUUUAUCAGGUGUACUGAGGUAUCUUCCAUCUCAUGACAUGCAAUAAAUUUGAACAGAUGGUCUGCCAGGUAUAUACUUGUUCUUUAUUCCUUGAUAGCAGGAACCCUGAUUUUGUUCUGGAAGUGAGUGUGCUUGCUCUCACAUAAUGGAUUAGUUAAAACCAAUCAUGAAAAUUCUGGUUAGUACUUUCUCAGUGUCUCUUGCUCUGAGGAGGGGGGGUAAGUCACAGCCCUGGCCAAUGAGACUAAAGUGAAUUCUUCUGAUACUGGUGUCCUUUUCCUCCUUUUUUUCUACUCUAAAUAUGACUGUGAUGACUAGAAAUAAAGUAGUCAUUUUUGCAACCACAGUGCAUCAAGUAUAAGAAUGAAGGAGACCAUGAUAUGGACCAAAGACAAGAAAGGAUCCAGGCUUUAAAAACAUUGAUGAAUGACUGCCGACCUCUAAAUAUUAUAAAUGAAAAGCAAAAAUAAUAAUAAAAAAACCCUCCUAUUUGUUUCAGCCAUGGUUAUUUUGGUUAUGGUUGCUAUUUAUAAUUAAACUCAACCCUAAUGGAUACACAUAGGCCAUCACAGCAGAUACAUAGAUUUACAUGGGGAGGAGGAUUAGGGUUGUGUUAUAGAGAGAGAAAUGCAAGGCUAAAUAAGGAGCAACAGAAUAACUCCAUUUGUGAUCAUAGUUUUGGACAAUGUUACAUUUCUCCCUGACAUCUAAAUUGUAGAUGUGACUUCCAAGGUCAUGCAUGAUUUCUAAGUCAGCUGACUAAGCAUCCUUAAGUAUCUCUCAUCUACCACAUGUAAUUACUGCCAUAUUUCCUUGACCAUGUGUGGUUGGGCACAUGCAUAGGUAUGUUCUUUUGGACAUAGCCUUGUAUUAAAGUCGAAGAACUAGGCUGCAUGUAAGUAAAUGUGGGUCUUCUGGAAACUCCACUUACUAUAUGAAUAUAUCAAUAAGUAUAGGCUUGAUUGUGCUGCAAGAAAACAAUGAACAAAAUUAAAAUAAAUAAUCCCUGAAUUUAAGUGACUUAUGAGUGAAAGGCUUAUUAUAUGCUUAUCCCAUCUGUCCAUCAUGAGUCAGCUAGGAGGCUUUAUUCCCUGCUGUCAUUACUCAGGGACCAUUUCUUGGAUAGGAAAAUGGAUAAAGCAACUUGCACAUAAUUCUUAAAGCUUCUGGAAGAGAGUAAAACGUAUUAUUUUGCUCAAUUUUAAUUGGACAGAACAAGCCACCUGUCCAAACCAGUCCUCACGAAAGCAGGGAAAUAAAAUUCUAACAUGAAACUUUGAGAACGAGGAACAGAAAACAUUUGGCAAAAGGCACUAAACACUUCCUCACAUGGUGACUCUAAAUAUGCCACUUCCCUUCUCCAGAGACUCAUUUCCUUCAUUUUAAGUAAAAAUUUAUUUCUAAUCCUUCCUUGACUGCUCUAAACAUACAUAAUCCUGAAAAUGGAUUUGUUUGACUUUUCAUCCCUCAUUCACUAAGCUUUGGGGCUAAACUAAGCAGCUGUUUGCCAUCAAGGAGACAAAGACUGAAUUACUUUACCCUUAGCUUGCAGUAAUUUAAAAGAGCUUGGGCAGCUACCAGAAGAGCAUGAGGUAUGGACAUCUGUGCCUUCUCAAUUGCAGCAAAGGAGUGCAAUACAAUAGUUCUGCCUAAACUUGGCUUCGGAUUAUAUGAAGGCAACAAAACAAUCUUUUCUUUGGACUCCCACAACACCCUCUGCAGAACCCUAGUUGGCAAACUGUGCUAUUUAACCAUGCUGGGUAAAUAGUACCAGGUGUGACUGAUGGGAACAGAGUGACUAUAUUCUCUGUACAAGGACCUGAUUUAUCCCAGAGGAUCCGACUUCAUGCAGACUUUUCCUGCCAUUCUCGGUAGGCGUACUGUCUCCUAAAAUCCUGCAGCUGCCAUCAUCUUUGCCUCAACUCCUCCAAUUCUGUAAGGAGAGAAAGCCCUCUCUCAUGUUGAAAUAGCAUACCACAAUUCAUCAAAGGAUCUAGAAAUCACUUCUAAGCAUUUUCAUAGUUUUGUGUGAUUCUCCUGAAGCUUCUGGGAACUUUUAAAGCAAAAUCUCACUGUCCCUCUAUCAUCCAAGUAACUUGCCUAUGAUGAGUGUACAAGCCGCUUUGUUGCUGAAGUUUCACACUGAAGACAAAGGUCACAGACUUUAGGCUGACUUCUCAGUUGCCAAGAGUUUUGAAGUAACACCUGGACAUUGUUACCAGUAUGACCUGAUUAUUUUCCAUUUAGUCCCCCAGGGAAAAUAAAUUCACCAUCUACCUGUUCUAGGGCAUGGCAUAACAACUUGGCCUUGCUAUUUUUAGACCAGAAUUAUCCACUCGUUUUGUUGUGUUUAUCUGAGAGGUUAAGCCAAGCCUAGAAUGAUUCUACCUUUGCAUCUUUAUUUUAAGAAACCAUCCUUGCCUUUUCUUUUUUUCUUUUAUUCCAUCCUUGCCUUUUGUCCUCAGUUAAACAUAAGAGAUGCUUCCAAACAUGAAUGACACAGCCCACAAAAUGGUGACAAACAUUUCUGUCAAAGCAGAAAUAAAACCAUCUCUCCCAAUCACUAGCCAAGGAAUCACUGAACACCUUGAAUGUGAUUUGUAUUAUGUAGGGUUUUGUUUCAAUUUACAAUGAAUUGAGUUUCUCAGAUGGAAAAUGAAAGCCAAGAAUUGUUUUACUAUGAGAGUACCAUGCUGAGAACGAGAAAGAAAAGUGUCAGACCCAAGCUUUGAUUUUUGCUCUAUGCUCCUUGGAAAAUGACGGUUUUUUCUUCACAUGUUACUGAGGUCUGUGUUAUAGAUUAAGAAUGAAAGGGAUGAGCUCCUGAUGGGUGAGACCCUGGGAGGAGAUCAAUGCAGGUAAAGAAAGACACACAUUAUAAUAUAAUGUUAGCCAACAAUUCCUCUCUUUCUCCUCUUUGUGUUACCUCCAGUUGAAUAAUUCUCUGCUUCUUUGUUUCCUUGUUCAUCUCUUAGCAUGCUAGUGUUUUCAUUUUAAGCACCCCUAUUUCCCUUGUGAUGUACUCUUCCUAGGUCAUACGUGCAUUUUCAUUUUGAGAUUUCCGAGGGGCAUAAAAAUAGAAGAGUUCAAAUUUAGCAUAUUCAAAACUGAAUGUACCUCACUUUGGCUAUUCCUACUCUAGCUCCUAUUUCAGACAAUGUUACCAUCAUCACCUUUAAAAAGUUUGCACUAGAAACCCAAAGACAUAUCUUCAGGUACAAAGAAUGAAGGGAAAGCUUCAGCCUACAAAUCUCUAAAUGUUUUGUCCCCUACUCGCCUCUUCAAUAGCAAUCCCUUGCCUUGGUUCAAACUCCAUCCUAAGUCUUAAAUCAUGGAAAUAAUCUCCCAACCGUCCUUAUCUCCUUUCAUUACCAUUUAAUAACCAUAAUUCAUACCACAGCAUUUGUGAACACUCAAAAACUCAAAUCUGUUCAUGUCACUUUCUAACACAAAACUACUCUUUGUCUUUCCAAUGCUUUGGGGAUUACAUUUAAAUUCAAUUGUUUAUCAUAUAAAAGGAGUUUGUGUCAAUAAAUAAUAUGGCUCAUUCCUUUAUGGAUAACAGAGUCUGUUUUAGAGGAAUGUAAAUAAGAAAACUCAAUUGUCACAUCCCGGUGUGAUGAGUAUGCCAAUAAAGAUGUCCACUGAUGCUUUGGGAGCAUUACAGAAGAAUUGCUGAAAAAGACUGGAGGUCAGGAAAGAAUAUUGGAAGGACUGCUUGAACUGAGUUUUAUGAAGUGGGUAGAAUGGAGAAUAGGUAGAUAGAGAAUAGGUGUAAGGCAUGCAAUACUAAACAUAUGGUAGGUGUUUGCCAAGAAAGAAAAAUGCAUGUAGGCUAAAACAUGUGUGCAUGCAUGUAUGUAUGAAUGAAUAAUUUCAUACUAUAUCACGGACAUUUAUUGGAACCAAUUAGGUCAUCUUCCAAAUGGGAAAUGUAACUACUAUAAAUCUCUUCCCCGAAAGGUAAGAGUUAGGUUCAAUGAUUAUUCUAUUGCUGAAAUAUUAGACUCUCAGAAGAGUAAAUAUUAACACAAGGACAAGACAUUUAUUUGCAUGUAGUGAUGGGCAAACUACAUAGGGCUAACUUAAACAAUCUAUAAAAAAAUCUAAUAAUGCAAUUAGAGGUUUCCUCUUAAGCAAUGGAAGUCUGCAAUAUAUGGUUGUUCCAAGUCAUACAUUAACUCUCUGUCACUUUGCAGAAAGUAAUUUCAGAGUUAUCUGGCCUGUGUCUCAUUAUCUAUCAAACACAGCCCAGUGGGACAACCUCCCCUUCUGUUGUCUUAGAAUAUUUCAUUGCUCUUCUCGUAGAUGUGUGUUAUCCAUGACAGUCUCAAUAUUGGAUUUCUUAACUAGAAUCUUUAGUUUUUAUGGGUGAAUUGUGGGGAACAUUAAAGCUCAAUCUUUAUAUGGAUUUCCCAAAAUUAAAAGAGGAUUUUUGUAAAAAAUAAACUGUUCUGAUAUUGUUUUCCUUCAUCACUCCAUAUCAGCCACCUGUGGCCUUAAUAUGAAGUGGCAGUUAUUGGUGUUAUUUUUGGUUAAGGGGCUGAAAUCAGGGGAAAUGGAGAAGUGUUGGGCAGAGAGAAGAAAUUUCUUGUGAACUCCAUAAAUCUUGGGUAAAAGUAAACCCCUGUGAGAUAGUCUCCCUUAUCUAUAUCAUUGGCUGCACAGGUAAAAUAAAAAUUUCCCAGGUGGCUGAUUAGACUAUAUAAAUCACUCUAGGACUCAAAUGAACCAAACCACUCAAAAGGGAAUCAGUAAGAUAUAUAAAAUUCAGUUUAAUCUGUUUUAAGAAAGAUAUUUUGCUUCCUUAUUAACAUACAUGUCUCCUUUUAAGGCUUUUCUAGAACUGAUAGGCAAUAGUGCACUCAGCUCUGGUCUUUCCUGAUGUAAGUAAACUCCCCCAUAUCUCUCCAAAUAUCUUAUUGUCUGUCAGAUGCACCUGCCAUCUCUUGAAUGAUUACACCUACUUGUAAAGUAUGCUUCAUACUGAAGCAAAACUUAGGAAGAACAGAGCAGCUGCCUAUGUCUGUUCCUCUCUCUUUACUGGUGACUGAUUGCAAAGUCUUGGUCCCUCAAUUCCUAUGUCAAUUGAUAGGCUACUCACUCUAGAAGAUAAGUUUGACCAACUAGUAUUUGUAAAGGCUAUCUAGGAU
rnacentral:lncRNA from 1 species